AACGAACGCUGGCGGCAGGCUUAACACAUGCAAGUCGAGCGCCCCGCAAGGGGAGCGGCAGACGGGUGAGUAACGCGUGGGAAUCUACCCAUCUCUACGGAAUAACGCAUGGAAACGUGUGCUAAUACCGUAUACGUCCUUCGGGAGAAAGAUUUAUCGGAGAUGGAUGAGCCCGCGCUGGAUUAGCUAGUUGGUGGGGUAAAGGCCUACCAAGGCGACGAUCCAUAGCUGGUCUGAGAGGAUGAUCAGCCACACUGGGACUGGGACACGGCCCAGAGUCCUACGGGAGGCAGUAGUGGGGAAUAUUGGACAAUGGGCGCAAGGCUGAUCCAGCCAUGCCGCGUGAGUGAUGAAGGCCCUAGGGUUGUAAAGCUCUUUCACCGGUGAAGAUAACGACGGUAACCGGAGAAGAAGCCCCGGCUAACUUCGUGCCAGCCGCCGCCGUAAGAC
rnacentral:rRNA from 1 species